UGUAUUUCUUGCAAUGUCUUUACCCACUGUUGCAGCACUGCACGCUCACUGUUCAAUUCUUCCACCAACCCUCCCACAUCACGCCAGGGCUGAUGACAGCACAGGCGAUGUGCAGGGGCUAGCUCAGGAUGUAACUCGUCUGAAGCAGGUGAGAGCUGCUGUGAUGAGGGGCUGGAAUCACCUGCAGGAGGGCACGUCCAGGAAAGGUCACUGGGACAGAUCCCCCUGCACCAGUGCCACUGAAGACCUGCAAGCCGUCUCCUGGCAGGAAUUACACCACUCUUGAGCUCACUGACCCAUUUCUCCUACGCUUACCCCAGGCCUUUCCUCACAAUGCCACUGAAAAACCACGAACUGUCACAGGAAUGGCAUUUCUCAGCUUCUAGAACGAUCUGAGUUUUACGAUGCUGCCAGUUUGAACAGGCUGUGCUAAAAUCACUCGCCUCACUUGACACCUGCCUGGGCUUGGGCUGGGAGAGGAAGCAGUGAGAGCAGCCUGUGCCCGCCAACCACCCUUGGCCUCUUUGGGGCAUUUUGCCACAGCACGGCUCAAACCUGCGUGUGCUGGGGCCCGGCGGAGGCAGGAGGAGCUGGAGGCCCUCUGGAGGAGGCAGCACAACUGGUGUUCCUGCCUGGACUAAUUCCUGUGGGGGGGACGGAGGGCAAACACCCCUCACCUUCAGUUUCACUGUGUGCCUUUCAGAAGCCGCUCCCUCACCCACAACACGCAAAAUCUGCCUGGCAGGCUGGCAACUGCAGCAUGGAGGAGGGAGGGAUCCUGCGUGCCUCUGGUGUCCCUCCUGGCAAAGCCAGCCUGAGCUAUUCAUCGCAAUACACGAGCUGUGGACCUCUGCAAGGUUUCCCUUUGCCCUGGCUUGUCCAAGGGCAUGAGCCUACCCGAACCAUCCUCUGAUGCCACCUGAACCCAGCCCCUGCAUGGAAAAACGCCGGUCGUGCCACAAGAUGAAGUGAAAUAUCAUUUCCCAGCUUAGCAGACAGAUUUGUUAUGUAUACAAUGAAUUACCAGCUCUUUCAGUGCAGUAAUUGUUCACACAUUGUUUCCCUGCCUCUUUCACUAUUUUUUUUGUGAUUCAUGCUGUUUGGUUGUCCAGUUGACAUUUCCAAAAUGAAGUUUUUAAGCCCCAGCCUUUCUCCCCUCUGCGCUCCCCUUUUUGUUUGCCUGGUUUAUGGGCCUGAGAGAAGUGUUUCCAAUCACGAUAAUAUCUUCAUGUUUUGUUGACAAAAGGUCAACCUAGGAAUAAGUCAAACUGGUUUUAGGAAAAAUAUUUGCUUAUUUAGUAAGGGGAUGUGUGUUGGAGAUCAAAUUUAUGAGGGUGAAAUUGAGUCUGGUUAUUUAAAGGACUCUGAAAUAAGAGCUUCCCACCCACUCACCAGGGGAAGAACAAGAGCUAUAAAUUGCUUUAGGCUGGAGGGAAUGCAGAAAUAAACUCAGUUUCUGUGCAAAAGGUAAUAGGAUCCAAAGCAAGAACUAAAAACAGAGCUCAACUGACAACAGCCCGUUCACUCCCUCACACGCAGCCCUCAUUCCACACUAUCGCUCCUUACAGAAUAAAGGUCAUAACUCUCCUCAAUAGUUGAGCAUCCACUUCCACAACAACCAUCCUCACCCACUGGCCAGACACUUACUUGGACUUACAUGCGAAAGAUACAGAGGUUUGGUCCUGGAAAUCUGUUUUGUAGCGUGCUUUUUUUUUUUUUUUUUUUUUUUUGUGUGUGUUUGACUUCAAAUUAUAGUUCUAAAUCAGAUAUUGGGAACACUUCCAUGAGCUUUGGGCAUGCCAAGAACCCUACCGAGUGCCGGAGGAACCACCUCUUCAUUGAACUUUGCACAAGCAGCACCGCUGAACGAAUACGUCUGGAGGAUCGUGAAGAGAUCCAGUCAUCCUUUCGACUCUGCCUCCUGCCCCGAACACUACCCACAUCUUCAGGGGGAUAAGAUGCUUGAUGGCACCUUUCAAUCCAGGCCAACAAAGCUCUUCACAAAUGUGGCAAAGGCCUAGACCCCAUGCCAGCAUCCCUCAGAAAGACCAAGGUUUCACUCUCUGGGUGCAUCUGCAUUUCUGUGAAGCUGACCACAUUUUACUGCUGGGCAAAUUAGGCAAAGAGAAGAAGAUGCUGUAGGAAAGUCAGAUGCUGCUAAUAAGCCAGGAGUUGAUUCUGCCUGGGCCUGAGCCUAAACCUUUUAAUACUUAUCUACAUAUUUUGAACAGCAGAAGAGAAUUUGCAGAUCAUCAGUGCUUCACGGUGUGUUUCCUCGUGUGACGGCUUCACAAGCACAGAUGACAGUUCUCAGGCAAAUCUGCUAAUUUGGAGAGAAAAAACGGUUUCGUCUGUUUUGCGGUGAGACACCUGAGAAGCCAAAAGGGCUGUUUCAGGAGGAAGCACAGAGAAGGUCUGUGUGCUUACAGCUGUGCUUUCAAUGCUGGAAAAUAAAUCAUCUUUCCAUGACAGACCCCAUUAUAAUUACCUUAGCAUGGAAGAGCAAUGAGGAUGUUCCUGACUUGCGGGUUGCUGUUUUGUGAAGAGGUGCAAUGGGAAUGGGGUGGUUAAUUGUAUUUGGGGAAUAAGGAGAUGAAUGACUAAGCUAUGAGAUUUCACACCAAUAUUCCUCCACCUUGUUGCAAAGAAAUGUCACCCCACCCUACCUUGAGAUGAUGGCUCUGUCAUUUCCCCCUGAAGAAACGUAGGAGAGCAGAUCUCAGGACUUCCCUGACUCUGCUCUGAUUAGGGAGAAGAAGGCAGGGAUGUAGCUACCCAGUUACCUCUCCUCGUGCCUGCUCUUUCUGCCUGUUCAGUACCAGCAGCCUGCAGUUUGGGAGCUGACCCUUCCAGCUGACGCCUGGCCAAGGUGAGCACGCACACUGCAGAAUCAGCCUGGGGCUGGAUCUAAACCAGGCAGAACCUGGCUUACCCGGGGAGUUGGCUACCUUGUCCUGCACUUGAUGGCUCUCUGGAAAAAAGCUCCAAGAAAAAAGGGGCAGCUGAGAGACCCAGCAAAAUAAAUAUUUGGUUCAGGUUCCACUGCGACCGAAAGCCCCACUCAAAACCUCAAAAUACAGAUUCAGGUUCAGUUUCUGCUUGGGGAGGUGAGGGUGAGGAAGAAGAGCAUGGUUUAGACUGGUUUCUGGCUCAGUUCACCCCCUUGCAAAAUCAUUUGGGCAACUCAGGAGCAGGAUAGAAGGAGGAAGGGAAUGUUCUGGAGCACAGCUACGGUGGAGGUGGGCUCGAGGACGAAGAUUAAUGAAGGAAGUGGCUCAACACAACAUGAUUCUGCCCCACAGGGGAAACUUGAGCUGAACUCAAAGUAUGGGCAGAACAGAGGAGCACCAGCAGCAAAGCAGGCCAGAUUAAAUCUGGUGGGGGAAAAGACACAAGCUCAAAUGAAAAGCUAUUUUUCAAGGAAAGGUUUCAAAAUGUAUAUGGUUAAAAAAAAAAAAAAAAAAAAAAAAGGUGUCUGCUAGUCCCUGGAUUCUGCACAAAAAUAAAUUAAUCCAUUGCCAAACACAAGAAACUGUAACGACCUACUUGGUAGAUCUUUCCCUUUUGGAACUGACUUGACUCUGCUCCACUUGUAUUACAUGUGCCAGCUCUUACGGUUUCCUUACUUAUGAAGACUUCACAGUUCACGUGGACAUUAAUUUUUGUCAGAGUCCAUAUGUUGCUUUUAAACCAAAGUACUGCACACGUUGCGUGCUGGCCAUGUGGCCAAGACCUCAGCAAAUGUAGAGGGUAAAACAUGAUUCCUACAAAAAGGGGGGACUCGGUGCUUUUGACUCAAGACUGUGGGAGCUGCUGAGCCAUCUGCAGUGUGUCCAAGCACUCUCAUCACUUGGGUCAGCACAGGUGGGUUUUGACCUCCUAUCCCAGCAGCCUAACAUCAACUCAGCUUCCCUUGAGCAAUAGUCUGCCAGAUGGAGCCAUAUCAUAUGCUAUUCUUAGCAGGAAUAACUCAUUUCUAGGUGUUACAAGAAACUGGAUCUGAAAUAGGUACUCAGCAUAAACAGACGCCUCUCUUGAAAUGCCCAGACUGCAGUUUCAGCACAUUGCGUCCAGCAAAAGCAUAAAGUUGAGUUUCAAGUGGUUUAACAGGUCAAAAGAGAAAAACAAACCAAUAUAUUCAUGUUUGAAAGUGUGCAUACACCUGCAUAUACAUCCACCCAGCUGCACAAUCAACAAAACACUUCCACAAUUUAAAAGCAUAACUAAGCCAAUCAGGCUGAUAUAUAGCCCUUCCCUCUAACUUAAAGCAUGCUUUCCACAUCUUCCCUUACAUCCACUCUGAAAAUGAGAGCUCCUAAGACAGCACUUCAUUUUCAGAAUGUAAAAAAGAAACCUAAAACCCCCAUAUCAUGUCUGCAGCUAUGUGCGGUGUGUGUGGAUAAUUCUGUGCCCCAGGACAGCAGAAUGUGCGCUCUACAGAUAUCAAAAUAUAUAGUGCUUUACGCACAGGCUGCGAACCAAAAUGUCUUGCAGCCAGCUGCCCAAAUAUUAGGUGCUCCUGGACCUUAGGGCAUUGAUGCCCUAUAAAUUUAGGAGUAUUUAUUAGGUGAAUACAGAACUGGAAGUUUUGUAGCAGUGGAAAAUAAGCAUGAUAAUGAGGUAAACACAUGUUGCAAAGAAAAUACCAACUAAUCGUGUGAUCUCUGCAGGAAAUAGCAGCUUUAAGCAGUCACUUCUUGAAUGCUGGAGCAAGGCCUGCGAGCUGGCUACAGGAUGGUGCACUUGUUAAUAACAUCCCUCUGCGUCCUGACAUUUUUUCCAGUACUGUAAACCCAGGUUGACAAGAAAGUAACCAAAAGGUGUUUUGCUCCUUUGAAGGCUUUGAAUGGCCGUGUGAAUGCUCCUUUCCAUUCCAGAAAGGAGAGAGCAUGGGCCUAGUGUCAGUUUUCUUUAGAGAAAUGAGAAGCAGUAUUUUUCAGGGGCCCACAGACAGCCUCGGUUACAGCUGGGGUUCCCUUCUUGCUGGCAGAAGAGACUUGAGGUACAGUGAGGUCUGUGCAUCGUGAGCUCCAUCUGGAGGUUGCUUGUUCUAAUCUGUGCGUUUUGAAAGGAACGGAGAGAAAAUCCAACAGUACUGGGUCAAAAUCAGCAAGCUCCUUCUGCAGGAAGCUCACAAAGCACUUGCUUGGGGUGUAGAGCAAGUUCCUGAUGACUUAAUGCCAGAUAUCCAGACCUGACGAUUAUGCUCAGCUCUGCUCUGAAGCUGUCAGCAUGUACAGGACUGCCGGGACAGGACUGCAUUUGGGGUGAGAAACUUCUGUGAGCUGUGUCAUACGCUCUAGAAUCACACCCAUAGCUGGACAUAUCGCUUGCCACCUCUGCUUGCUGCUUGCCUGGGCACUUAAUGUGGUCAGGAGCGUAAGGUGCCCCAGCCCCAGGCCGCUGUGCAGGUCUGGGGGUUUGCACAAGGCCUAACUACUUACAAAGAAAACACCACAGGGUAUUCAGCUAUAAUUUUACACGAAAAGUGCAGGAUUUAUGUGGGAAAAGCACCUCAAGUAGUCCAGAGGCUGAACCUGCUGAAGUUUAAGAGCUGAGCUUCUCUAGUACUGUAAGGCCACGAGCUGCAAUGGCAGCUUGGUUGUCAGCCAGCUGUGGAGAGAAAAAAUGGCUGUGUAAUUAAUUGCCCAGGGUGGUAAGCUGAUGUGCAGAGAAGUACCCAGCCGGAGUUUACAUUUCAUAGACUCUUCACAUUUUUUACCCAUGAAACUAAGCAGCCUUCUCCAAGUGUUGGGUAUCGAGGGCUGCAUGGGUUAUUUCCUCCAUUUUUUCAGCACCAUUAAGAAUCAGUUAUGUAGGCCUUCUUCCACGGCAGGGUUGUAACAGGGAGCACCGCAUGCCGCUUAGGAGAAAAAGCAGGUCUUGACACAUACACAGACCAUCAGGAGAAGAUUUUUGACUUGCAACAAGAACUGGUUAAUAUUGCCAACAGGAUAUAAAAAAUUUGAGGCAGAGCACACAGGAAUAAGAUCACAGUGAUGACCCAUCACACAGGCUGUGAGAAAGAGGCUGAUGAAAAGGGGAAGGCUUAUAGCUGUACAGAUCCCUUUUCAUAUACUGUGGUGGCCUCUCCUUUCCUGGCCACAUACUGGUUUAUGGCUAUCUUUAGAGAAGAAAGAGAUAUUCAAUCUCCCCUAUUCAGUGAUGUAUGUACCUGGCUGAAAAGGGAAAAUAUUCAGAUUUGUCCUGUUACAUGAUGGUGGGUAUCAAGUACAAACCUGAUUUCUGAAUGGCAAGACAAUCACUGAUGGGGUGCCAACAGCUUUCGAAUGGGUGAUUUUUCCACAGCUGAUACAGCUACCAUGGCAUUUACUGGAACCAUCCUGUGGGGACCACCUUUGGGUAUUCGUAACACACAAUGCAACAAAAGAUGGACCACCGACAGAGAGCGGGUUUUAGCAUCAGAUCUGUAUGGGAGCACAAGCGAGCUGCUAUGAAAAGAAACAGAUGGGGAGCUCAUGGGCUUAGCCAGCACCAACUGCCCAGGCCUUGAUCCCCAGAGAUGUGCUUGUUGGCAGCAGGGCAAAUGCAAUUUGUCUGUACUACAAAGCAGCCUCCCAAUGAAAAGAUACAGCUUUAUGCAUACUAUGAUUUUGCUAGUUUCUAUCCUUUCAUAAGCAAAAAUAACACCCUCUAGGGAACCCAGAAAUCAUUGUUUUGAGACUUGACAUGCUGGCUGCCUAUUUUGCAGUAAGGGUGUACCCACCUGGUGGGCUCUUUUUUUCUGUUUCCCAAGAGGAUAAGUAGUGAACUGUUGUUUCUCCUGUCCUGCACCUGUGCAGGCCCUCUGCAUCCACAGUGAUUAAAAUGAAGAGCCCUUGUGAACACCUGGAAUUGAACUAGGCUCUGGAGAAAGUCUGCUGAGAUUACAGCAUAAAUCGAGAUUGCAACAACCCUAAAAAGUGCAUAGCAGAGCAGCUCUAUCACCAGGAGCAAGGAAAGGGUGAGAGAAACCAGGCCUGUCAGAAGGUGCAGAAUGUGGUCUAUGGUCCAUGACAAGAGACCAAAAUUGCUUUUGGUCUCUGCUUUUGCUCAGGGGCAGCACUGGGCUGGAAUGGAUCCCUAGGCAGAGCAGGGGAGGGCCCAGGGGUGGCUGGGCAGGGACAACCGGGCCCAGCAGUGCCCAGGGGGCCAGCAGCCCCAUGGUGGCCUCCUGGCAGAAGCCCACGGCCCUGGGGCAUGCUCAACCUCCUGGCACCCCAAGCUGGACCUGUUCUCUAAUCCCAGCAAGCAGGGCACCCAAUCCUGCCCUCUGCCUUUGUUCAAUACCUCCAUUCACAUGUAAACUUUAGUAAGAGUUCAAGAAAUGGAUAAAGUGCUAAUCCAGUUUAUACCCACACAUUUAAAUCAUGUGUGCUUUUUUCUAAAUGUAUGCAAUAUGUACACAAGUACACAUUAGAAGUAAAUCCAUGCAUAAUAUAUAUAUAUAUUUGUACUCUCCUUCAGAUACCUAUAUUCAUAUACACAAGAGAGAAGAACAUCUAUUGUUACACAUUAGCAUUUCCUGCUCCAAAGAAAAUGGGCAACCAGUCAGAAUGGGAUGUCUUUUGUCAUCCUUUGAUAAGGUGCCUACUCCCACUUUGAACAUUGCUUUAUUCUUGCCUCUAA